rnacentral:rRNA from 1 species
GAUUGAACGCUGGCGGCAUGCCUUACACAUGCAAGUCGAACGGUAACAGGUCUUCGGAUGCUGACGAGUGGCGAACGGGUGAGUAAUACAUCGGAACGUGCCCGAUCGUGGGGGAUAACGGAGCGAAAGCUUUGCUAAUACCGCAUACGAUCUACGGAUGAAAGCAGGGGACCGCAAGGCCUUGCGCGAACGGAGCGGCCGAUGGCAGAUUAGGUAGUUGGUGGGAUAAAAGCUUACCAAGCCGACGAUCUGUAGCUGGUCUGAGAGGACGACCAGCCACACUGGGACUGAGACACGGCCCAGACUCCUACGGGAGGCAGCAGUGGGGAAUUUUGGACAAUGGGCGAAAGCCUGAUCCAGCCAUGCCGCGUGCAGGAUGAAGGCCUUCGGGUUGUAAACUGCUUUUGUACGGAACGAAAAGACUCUGGUUAAUACCUGGGGUCCAUGACGGUACCGUAAGAAUAAGCACCGGCUAACUACGUGCCAGCAGCCGCGGUAAUACGUAGGGUGCAAGCGUUAAUCGGAAUUACUG